GUGCCAGCCGCCGCGGUAAUACAGAGGUGGCAAGCGUUGUUCGGAUUUAUUGGGCGUAAAGGGUCCGUAGGCGGUUUGAAAAGUCAGAUGUGAAAUCCUACAGCUUAACUGUAGAACUGCAUUUGAAACUUUCAGACUAGAGUAUGAGAGGGGUAAAAGGAAUUCCCGGUGUAAGGGUGAAAUCUGCAGAUAUCGGGAGGAACACCAGUCGCGAAGGCGUUUUACUGGCUCAUUACUGACGCUCAGGGACGAAAGCUAGGGUAGCAAACGGGAUUAGAAACCCGUGUAGUCC
rnacentral:rRNA from 1 species